rnacentral:rRNA from 1 species
UACAGAGGGUGCAAGCGUUGUUCGGAAUUAUUGGACGUAAAGCGCGUGUAGGCGGCUUGCAAGUCGGGUGUGAAAGCCCUCAGCUCAACUGAGGAAGUGCGCCCGAAACUGCAGAGCUUGAGUGCCGGAGAGGGUGGCGGAAUUCCCCAAGUAGAGGUGAAAUUCGUAGAUAUGGGGAGGAACACCGGUGGCGAAGGCGGCCACCUGGACGGUAACUGACACUGAGACGCGAAGCGUGGGAGCAAACAGGAUAGAUACCCCGAGUAGUCCGACACC